CAAUUUCUUGGGGCCCAAUUCUGCUCUUAUUGAAAUCAGUGAGAUUCUGCCAUUGACUUAAAUGGGAGCAGAAUUGGGACCUAAGAAGACA
rnacentral:pre_miRNA from 1 species